CCAGCCUCAGAGCUCAGCAACCGACUUCUCCCUUCAGAAGCUGCCCUUGGCUUCACAGUGACCCACUUUUUCCCUACAGCAGUGACCAUUCCCUCCCACCUCCCAUCUCUGCCCUGGGCCUGGCAGGCACUCAGUUUCUGAAUCCAGCAUGAAGAGGGAAGGAGGGCCCCCAGCUACUCGGGAGAGGACUGAACAACUCACUGUGCUUUGGGAGGUCUCCAACGGCUCCAUCAGACCCCGUGAUCUAUGUGUCUUCUCCAUCGUCUUUCGCCUACAUGCUACACCCAGUGCCUACCAUGUUUUACAAAGCCAAACAAGAUGGUGCUGUGCAGAUAAAAGUGUUUUGAACUCCUUGAAGGGAAAGCAAGAGUCAUGGCCAAGUCAGCGGUGCCCAUUGUCUAUUGAAGAUUUCCUGGCCAGAGAGCAAUAAAAUCUUACGAUUCACAAGACGAAGAAACUAAGGAUUCCAGAAGGAAACUACCUUGUCUGAGGCCACCCAGCAAAUCAAUGGAUGCAGAUUUGAACCCAAAUCUGACCACAGCAAAUGGUACCUGUGUGCUGUCUGAAUCCACACAGCACUCUCUGUUCUAGCGUGUUCUGCUGCAGGCAUCAGCCACUCUCCACUCGAGGGCUUUCUCCCGUCCCAGUGGGGCAGCUGGCGUUCUAGAAGUCAAGGGGAGUUGAGGCGCUGGAAGCAUCUCUCGUGCAGUGACAGAUGGGAGUUGGAGGGUACACACUCCCGGGCCCUCAGCUCCUGG